rnacentral:rRNA from 1 species
CUUACCAUGCAAGUCGAACGAUGAUCCGGAGCUUGCUCCGGGGAUUAGUGGCGAACGGGUGAGUAACACGUGAGUAACCUGCCCUUGACUCUGGGAUAAGCGUUGGAAACGACGUCUAAUACCGGAUAUGAGCUGCGGCCGCAUGGUCUGCAGUUGGAAAGAUUUUUUGGUCAAGGAUGGACUCGCGGCCUAUCAGGUAGUUGGUGAGGUAAUGGCUCACCAAGCCGACGACGGGUAGCCGGCCUGAGAGGGUGACCGGCCACACUGGGACUGAGACACGGCCCAGACUCCUACGGGAGGCAGCAGUGGGGAAUAUUGCACAAUGGGCGAAAGCCUGAUGCAGCAACGCCGCGUGAGGGAUGACGGCCUUCGGGUUGUAAACCUCUUUUAGUUGGGAAGAAGGGAGCUUGCUCUUGACGGUACCAGCAGAAAAAGCACCGGCUAACUACGUGCCAGCAGCCGCGGUAAUACGUAGGGUGCAAGCGUUGUCCGGAAUUAUUGGGCGUAAAGAGCUCGUAGGCGGUUUGUCGCGUCUGCUGUGAAAUCUGGGGGCUCAACCCCCAGCCUGCAGUGGGUACGGGCAGACUAGAGUGCGGUAGGGGAGAUUGGAAUUCCUGGUGUAGCGGUGGAAUGCGCAGAUAUCAGGAGGAACACCGAUGGCGAAAGCAGAUCUCUGGGCCGUAACUGACGCUGAGGAGCGAAAGCAUGGGGAGCGAACAGGAUUAGAUACCCUGGUAGUCCAUGCCGUAACGUUGGGAACUAGAUGUAGGGGCCAUUCCACGGGUUUCUGUGUCGCAGCUAACGCAU